AUGGCGUCCUCCAGCGUCCCUUCUUGGCUUGCACUUGCGCUGCUCCUCUUGGUUGCUCUCGCUGCCACCGCCAAUGGCGACGAGCUCUCCCCGGGUUACUACGAGAAGACGUGCCCCAACGUGCAUCGCGUUGUGCGGUCAGUGAUGGCGAGCAGCGUCGCCGCCCAGCCGAGGAUGGCGCCCGCCGUCCUCCGCCUCUUCUUCCACGACUGCUUCAUCAACGUAUAUCACCUCUAUUCUUUAUACGGAUUUGCUAAAACUCAUUCAGCUGAGAAUCAAAUUGGUCUCAUUCACUUUUUUGGCCGUCUGAUUGAGCUGCGCCACGAUUCGUGUUUUCCUCCUGUAGAGAGCUUCGUAACGACGGGAGGCACAGCCCAUCUAUUGUCCCGCUCGUGGCCUGUUUUUUUUUUGUCGCGUGCUUGUUUUUCUUUUUUUGCUGACAAAGCCCACUUGUGUUGGAUAUAG
rnacentral:rRNA from 1 species